rnacentral:lncRNA from 1 species
AAUAUUGGACAAAACGUUGGAUAUGGUGUGAUGAUCUUCCUACAGCUUUGUUGUGUUCAAGAGGGUGGGACCGACUUAAAGAGAAGAUGAAAAAACAUCGUGAAAGGUGCGAAAGUACAGAAAUACUGCCAGAGGCGUUGAUAACAGACUUGAGUUCCUGACCCUUGGCUAGACCCACAAAACACUGAGCUAACAAUGUGCACUGCUCCCCUCCAGAACUUAUACAUAAAUUAAUUAAAUGGUGCCACUUCUCAGUGUUAAUCAUUAAAAAGUACCCAAGCGCACACACAGUUGAAGCAAAGUGAAAGGACACUGAUCCUUCCUCAGAGAACAGGAGUGGGCGUUCUCUAUCUGCCAAUUAGUAGCUACCCCAAGCUAUGGGGACUUCCUUGCUUCUAAUUCAGCAUUCAUUUCAACGACUGUAUCGACUGCAUGGAGUGCCUGCUAUGCCAGAGAUGCAAGAAUGGAUAAGACAGAGCCCCUACCCUUAAGGCCAAUGCCUCUACUAGGGAAGAGACAAAUAAAACAAUUAGUCCUGCCUAAGGGAUAAAUGCUAAAACGGUGGAGGCAAGCCCAAGGGGGCCCUGAGGAAAAUCAGGGAAGGCUUCCUGGAGGAGUUAUUUCAAUGAGUGCUUGAAAGGUGUGUAGAAAUUAGCAAGUUGGAAAGGGAGUUGAGUGCAGGUGGAGUGGAGAAAGGAGCGUGGCAAGUAGGAGGGCCGCCACUCUGCGUGUGAGAGGUGGGGGAUGGAGAAGUGUAGGGAGUGGCAGGCAGGAGAUGAGCUGAGAGUAGGUCUGUGUUAGUCCAGAGUCUCAACUUUACUCUGAAAAGUGUGAUGAACUUGACGAAUUUACACAGCAAAGGGAUCGGUGGAGUCUGGACUUGUAUUCAGAAAGACCCUGUGGCAGCAGCCUGAGGGCGACCGGCAGUGUGGGGUGGAGGCCCGCAGAAGAAGGGUGAAUGGGUGUGGACAGACUGGAAGCAUGACUCAUGGGGGAAUGAGGAAGGGAGGAGCCUUGGGAGACUCCAGAGUCCCUGGCUGAACCUACUGGAUUGUUUGCUACUUGCCUUUUAAUUUCUUCAGUUUGCCUCCCCUUCUCCAUGACGAUGGACCAUGACUUCUGAGCGGGGCCACCUGUGCAUCUGCUAGCAGGAUAGAAAGAUCCAUUGAAAGAUGGUGUUCAAACCAAGAUCCACAUUCGGGUCCCUUGCACUCUAGUCCAUGUUUAAAUAUAGAUGGUUAAGAGAAGAAGCUGCUGGAAGGCAGUGAAGAGAUGGAAACACUCUCCUUGUGUGGAAAAUCCACUUUAAGCAGAUGCUUUAGACGUAUCUCCAUUAACUUCCACAGCAGGGGAGGCGCCCUCCUCUCUAGCCUGGAUUCAAACUUGUUCAAGUAUCUGAAUAAGUAAAUAUACUUGAUAGAAUUAAAUGAAUUUAGUUUACCUUCAAGGACCUUAGUAUAUUUCACAUACCAAUUAAGUUUUAAAAGUUAUACCC